rnacentral:tRNA from 1 species
AUAUAAAUAAGUUAAUUUAAACUAUUAGAUUCAUAAUCUAAAAAUAUUAUUUAUUUUAUUUUAUAUA